rnacentral:lncRNA from 11 species
GCGAAGUCCCGAACAGUCGUGUCGAGUUAUCCUCGGAAAAAGGUAACGUAAGGAUAUGAUAGGGGACUUCGUGAUCGUCUUAUGCUAUACUCACAUUCAAUAUUGGACAGAACAAUAUUUAACCGAAGUCAUAUAGCACAGAUCCGCAGGGAUUGCCAAAAUCGAUCUUGGCUACUUGCACCCCUUACCGAAAGAUAACAGCGCUCUAUCUGCUGACAAGUGCUGCUUGCCAGGUGUCUGGCUGUCCCUUUUGACAAGGAAGACUUCGCCUGCCGUUUUGCUCGCUGUCUUUUAAGCAGUCCAGCAAGUACCGCCCAAUUAUCACCUACUGUUCUCUACCUGACCAGCGACUUAAUUGUCGAAGAAGUGCGUGCUCGUCAUGGUCCGGCGAUUGUUGCCGCGGUGAAUCAACAUAGCCACUCUCGCCGUCAGGAAGCCCGUCCAACCAUACCAACACUAUCAAGUGGUAACCCAGGACAAGCUGCUGUAGUGAGUGACCGGACAAAUCUGGCCCAGAGCCCAAAUCGAUAGCACUACAAACAACCAAAAUGGGUUCGGCUCUGGUGACUAGUUUAACCCAGGGUUCGCUGUUUUCACUGCCAUCACUUCGCUACAGUGUCUAUCGCUGGUUUGCUUCGGACGCGAAAGGUACAAGAGGGAGAAAGUCCAGGAGGAUCAGGACAUAAGAAAUGCAUCUAUCUUCUUUCGCUUAUUUCUGGUUCCUCCCUCCCGGAAGGCCAGCACCUUGCCCUAAAGUAGACGCGCCUCUUGACCGACGAACGCUAGCAAGCGAGAACGGUUUGCUUAUUGACCAGCGCGUGGAACCUAUUGUCACAGCGAUUCGUUCUGAUGGAUGAAGCAAUGGAAAUCCUGCCAGUACAAAUCCAAUCUUUACCCGACCUAUGCAAGCCUAAAAGACACAUGAUCUGUUCUUCUAUAUUAACAAAGUAAGCUAUGAGCCAACCGUUGCCGAAAAUGCUUUCCGCUAAUGUAGGUGAUGCCUGGAGGCGUGGCAGCAAAUACACUUGCUUGAGUUGGGUGAGCAGGCAGUUACUCCGGCAGGUAAGAAGAGUUUAUGCCUUGGUAGUCAUCUGGAGUCACUCUCUCAAGAAUAACUCUGGCUGUAGUCGUAAUUGCGGGAGCGUAUUAUUAACCUUGUGGCUUUCUAUUGAAUGUAGUGAUGUUAUUUCGACAAAGCUGGUGUGAUAAAGCCAAGAUGACGGCAGGUCCUUGUGAAGAUACGAAGUCAACCGUUAGAGAAACCGUCACUCAACUCUGCCUCCCAUACGUCUCUCUGAUAGCACCGGCUCCUUGUGUAACGAUGAUAAGUCUAAAAUUGGGUUGGUAAUUCCCGAGAGGCAAACAAGGUCCGAAUAGCACGACUGACAUAAUCCCCUCAUGAACUAAGCCACCUAAUAAGGGAACUCGCUGUCCCCACAAUAGGUAACGGCUCCGCACGAUAGAACAAUGUAUUAGCUAUUGUUUUGUUUAUUGCAGGGAAUUGAAUACAUGAAAAAAUUAGUGCAAAGGAACACGCCAUAUAAAACAAUACAAUAGGAUAUUAUCUAGAUUAGUAUAUUAUUAAAAUAAAAUCGACUGAAUGCCAACCGGAGCUUCUUAUGAAUGGAAGGUGAUAAUAGGAUAUUAUAGGACAGACAUGAAAUUUAUCGACGAUUCUCCAAUGAGUUCCGACAAGUCAACCAUAUUUGGGCUGUAUGACCACGUAGAUAACUAUUUGCGCUUCUACGCUUACACAAACACGAACUUCAAAGUAAAUAAGCGAGUAUUUUCUGUGAUGUACCGUAACGUCCAUAGAUGUAACAGUACUAUAGAGAAAGCAGCUAUUUAAACAUCUAUAAUACAUAAUAGCACUUUAAAACCCGCGCGCAGACCGAUAUCUUUCUAUAUAAUCCCCUUUUUAACACCAUCGCCGUUGCUACUGAUGUAGUUGCUUUUUCAAAAUAGAGAAAUGAAGGAAGAUUCGUAGCUACCAUAUGGACGAGGUGUGAUGUCAAAUCAGAUAGCCAGCUGCGCGUGACGAAUAAAAAAAUAUGGCGGUCAAUAUCGUAACUCGGUUGGCGAUUUUAUGCUACUACUAUAUUACCACUUGCCUUCUUUCCCGUCCGGCCACCUGCGUCCCUCUCCUAUGAGAGCCCAGAGCGUAUAGUAAUCUGUCACCAGUAAUAGCGAACAUUAUGAUCAUAACCGUGAGAACUAAAGCUUUUGCUAUGAAUUGUUGUUAGAAGCGCUGAGAUAGCAGAAGAUGAGGCGAAUAUCGGCUAUCGUCGGGCAAUAGGAAGCGUUUACAACGACAGGACUGCAACAGAGGACACGACCGUGCGGGGAAAAACUGGUAUUUCUCACUCUUAUGCGAUUCAGUCGAUCGUCUGAUUGCAAGCAGUAUGGCGUAGCACACCGCAUAUAUAGAUAAUACAUGACACUAUUGGCCCGAGCUCUCCCGGCUGAACUGAACGAUGGUAUAGUUACGUAGUAAGAGAUACCCCACAACCUUAUAUCUCUGUCUUAUGCAUACGGGGCUCGUCUCUAGCAUCAGAGCAAAUAUUUCACUUUUACCAGAUUUUUUUGCUUCACGGCUCUGCAACGAACGUAACGCCAUGGUGACGUCGCGACGCGCAAAGCAAAAUUCACUCGAAAUAAGUAAUCCAGGCGGUCCGGCAAAAUACCGAAAUCAGGGAAACCGAACAUCUGAUGGGGUAGGUGAAAAUAGCUAAGAACCUUCCCCAUCUUCCCGUUUCUGGUUCCGCCUGAAAGUAUCGGCUGAGUCAACUUUUUUUCAGUUUUCUUUCAGUUUAGAAAGAUGGAAGAGAAAAGCCAAGCUGGUGGCAGUGGUGGUAACGGAAUAUAAAUAAAGAAAAAAAACGUCAGAGAAAAAAGAUGGAACGAAAAAGCUCACAGAGUCAUGUACUAACCGACUACGCUAUGGAUAUAACUUCAUAUCAGAUAGACGUGCUGUGAGAGGCCGCACUCCACGAACUAUGUGCAAUUGCGAGCUGCAAAACUGAGCGCUCAGAAUUAAUUGGUAACGGCCAUGUUUUUUGUAUGCACAUAUUGACAUCAUCCGAUAAUUGAGGAGUCACAGGAGCCUGUGUACCUUUUUUUUUUUAAUGUUCAUAAUCUCCAGUGUACCCUAUACACGUACGGCUAAGCCAAUGGCUACAACUCUACCCCCACAAUUUUUGCUGUGCAAAGCCGAAGGGCAUGAAGGAUGCAACAUAAGGCCGAGCCAAAAUGUCGUUUCUUGCUGAAACUAUGUAUAUAGUGUCUCGUAGUACUUCCAUUUACCAUCGACACUUGCUCGAUAGGAUUGGUUCAACAGGCCUCGCGACAUAACGCAGGUCCCCUUUCGGCGUUUAGGAGCAGAGGUUUUCACGAGCCCGACGAUUCAUGCAAGCACUCCAAAUGUGGGGAACAUUGUGCGUUUGUUUCGUGAGAACUUGUAGUCCGUGAUACCAGCAACACCCAAGUCAGUGCAAUCAGCGCUAUCUCGACUGAAAGGCACCGGUCUGGAUGGCCGGUGCACAUACGGUUCUCUCUAGAUACGCCAGGAGGGCGGGCUGCAGCCGAUCCGCUAUAACCCAUCGUCGCUAAACCUUGCCACUAUCAUCCGUUUUCACCUUAAAACUAUUAUGAAAAAGAUAAAAUGUCGAUUUCUUUUGCGGGCUGUGACUCUUGUGGCUAUUUAAUUAUCAAUGAGGAUUGUUGUCCUUGGUAUAAGUGGGCCUGAGUAUUUUAUGUACCUGAGAAGGAAUUCUGAAGUUUUAAUGGAAAAUUAAGCAAACCUUAGUUGAGGUUAUGCCGUUGUC